rnacentral:rRNA from 1 species
GACGAACCGUGCGAACGUUGUUCGGAAUCACUGGGCUUAAAGGGAGCGUAGGCGGGCUGCCAAGUCCGGGGUGAAAUCCUCCAGCUUAACUGGAGAACUGCCUCGGAUACUGGAAGUCUCGAGGAGGGUAGGGGCACGCGGAACUGUGGGUGGAGCGGUGAAAUGCGUUGAUAUCCAUAGGAACUCCGGUGGCGAAGGCGGCGUGCUGGACCCUUUCUGACGCUGAGGCUCGAAAGCCAGGGGAGCAAACGGG